CUCUUUUUUCGCUGGCCCUUCGCCAGGGUUUGCUGGUCCUACCUUUGUCCCAACUGGGCGCCCCUAUAUCACGCCAUACAAAUGGAUAUCAAUGAUAUGAAAACUCAGAUUGGCUUGCCUUUUUCUUUGGAGGUCAUCAUCCUUGCUUCCUGGGCCAUCUGAACUACCUGAAAUGGUUGGAUUUUCAGAGGGAUCCCUCCAAGCCUAUACACUUGCACAAGAAAAUUCAAGAAUCAGCUUGAGUGGCUAGUCCACCGGGCCACGAGAAAAACAAUUUCCAACCUUGAAGCCUGGGUUGAUGCUCUUGUUUAG
rnacentral:rRNA from 1 species